ensembl:lncRNA
GGAAUCAUAUUUUGAGUGUACAGAAGGUCAUAGUCUGCACUACUACAGCAGCUUAACCAGUAAUUAAUGUAGAAUACCUGUCCUUAUCAGUCCAUUCACACUUAGUCCACUCUACUCACAUAGUUGUCAUGAAGUGCCUCAUUAGUAGUCGCCAUAUUGAAUGUAGUUCAUUAUGACUACUGAUACUGUACAGCACAAGUCUAUGUGUAAUUCUCCAUGUCUCUUGAAUGUUAGUUUGCUUUACACGCAUGAAUUGUGGCUUGUCCACCCCACCACGCUAAGCAAGAAUAUUUACAGUGAAAGGAUCUCUAGUGUAAACCAGGAAACUGUUGACAAGUUGGAGGCACAAGUGUGUGGUACUUGGGAAUCUAAUUGUAGGAUAAUAUAUGCUGUACUUUGGUUAGAUUCCUUUUGGCAGUUUUUUUAUUUUCAUUGUAACAGGCAGAACAUUUUAAUAAUUUUAAAAUGAAGAAAAGAACACCUUUCUAAGAUCUUUGCAAAUGCUCAUAUUUGGUGUAAGUAAUUUGCCAGGACAAUAUCUCCAGUUGAUUGAUGUUAUGUUAAUAUUAUGGUUGUACAUUUUCAACUGAUAAUUUGAUGAAUAUGAAACCUGCAGUGCAGGUGUUGAAUUGUAAUUGUAAUUUGUCAAAUGUUGGUCCUUUUUGUAGUUUUAGGGAUUCUCAUGCCGUUCUCUGUUCAAAAUCUUCAUUUUGUGCUCCUUCCAUGCACUGGAAUCUACUUGAACCGUACUACAGAGUUGAAGACGUUCUAUUGUGCCAGUAUUCUGUUGUGGUUGUCUGGUUUAUGUUGUGAGUUUGUGAUUGCAUUUGACCUAUCCUUCUACUUCUGUGUGGUUGUGUGUUUGUGUGGUUGGGGAUUCCAGUGACGGAGCACUCCAUCUGUGUCUUUGUAUUUUGGGUUGGUAUUCCUAGUAAUUGACCACGUAGUAACCCCUUCUGCCUAUACCAAUCUGCUUGGCACUUGUUCCCAAAGACCAUGGUUAUGUAUAAAUUGUGUAGAGCAAUUUAUUACCUCUUUUCAAUUAUAGAGCAGAGAAACUCUGGCUAGGGAUGGACAUUUAUAUAGCCAUAUUGUGGGACCAGAUCUUCUGAAACUGCUGAAUGAAAGCCAAGCUAUUCUUCUGACUUGUCUGUAUGUCAUACAUAACUAUAUUUUUUGCAUGGGCUCCUAUGGCAAUGUUCCAGUCAUUUAACCAAAGUCCUUUCUAAACCCAGAAGUCUGAAUGUUAUUCAUUUACCUUGCUGAAAAUCUUAAUUCAAAGCAUAUAGAAAAUCAUGUGAUUUGAUAGUUUUCCUACCAAAAGAUAAUAUCUAUU